GUGCUUGCUUUGGCAGCACGUAUACUAAAAUUGGAAUGAUACAGAGAAGAUUAGCAUGGCCUCUGCACAAGGUUGACACGCAAAUUCGUGAAGUGUUCCAUAUAAAA
rnacentral:snRNA from 1 species